AUUGAACGCUGGCGGCAGGCCUAACACAUGCAAGUCGAACGAGUGGCGGACGGGAGAGUAAUGUCUGGGAAACUGCCUGAUGGAGGGGGAUAACUACUGGAAACGGUAGCUAAUACCGCAUACCAUCAGAUGUGCCCAGAUGGUUUUAGCUUGUGGGUGGGGUAACGGCUCACCUAGGCGACGAUCCGUAGCUGGUCUGAGAGGAUGACCAGCCGCACUGAAACUGAGACACGGUCCAGACUCCUACGGGAGGGAGCAGUGGGGAAUAUGGCACAAUGGGCGCAAGCCUGAUGCAGCCAUGCCGCGUGUAUGAAGAAGGCCUUCGGGUUGUAAAGUACUUUCAGCGGGGAGGCGUUACCCGCAGAAGAAGCACCGGCUAACUCCGUGCCAGCAGCCGCGGUAAUAC
rnacentral:rRNA from 1 species